AACGCACAUUGCGCCCGCCAGUAUUCUGGCGGGCAUGCCUGUUCGAGCGUCAUUUCAACCCUCAAGCCCUGCUUGGUGUUGGGGAUCGGCCGGCCCAGCGCCGGCCGCCCCCUAAAUCCAGUGGCGAUCCCACCGGCGCAUCCCUUGGCGUAGUACAUACCCUCGCCCUGGAACGCCGUGCGAUCACGCCGUAAAACCCCCCACUUCUCAAGGUUGACCUCGGAUCAGGUAGGAAUACCCGCUGAACUUAA
rnacentral:misc_RNA from 1 species